CUCAAAGCAGCCGCAAGCCUGGUAUUUCUCUCUUUUGUCCUCCAUUGGAGAGCAUGGUUGUGCCAAGGCUCUCUAGCCAGGACAGCCCAUCCUCAGGCCACCCAGCUCCGUGAGUGAGUUCCCUGCACAGCCUGUGACUGACUCACCGAUGCAGUGGGGCUGAUCUUCACAUGGCACCCCAAGCAGGCUUUUCCAGUUCACAUCUGCCAACAAGGUCUGUUACAUUUCCCAGAAUGGUUCCCAGUGCUGGAGAUAAUUCCUUUUCGGAGAACCUACAUUUCUCACCUGCUGAUUGCAAUUAGCCACUACCAGCUGGGGCCUGGUGUGCAGCUGAAAAGCUAACAAGAAGUGGAGACCACGCGGAACUCAGACAGGGCAUAGGAUGUGCAUAAAUAAGCAACGGUGCCUGUGUUUAUGAGAUGCUCCUGUGAAUUCGAGGCUUCCCCACCCUCUGCAUAACUCUCCCUCUUCUGGCUUUGUGCUGCACACCCCUCCCCUAACUAUAUUUUUUGUCUCUGGUUUUGUAGCCUACGUUUAACAUCACAGUCACGAAUUUACCACUAAGUACAUUUUGUUAGGCAAUAAACAGCCUUGGAAGAAAAAUGAAAUCCGACUAGGACUUCUGUUCUAAUAAUGUCUGUGAGCUGUGGUGGAUUCAGGCAGGCCCCACAUGCAGGUCUUAGAGCUAACCUUGACCAUGAGGGCUAGUGGGGCUGGGAGAGGGCUCAGGGACCCCAAUUCAACUCCCUUAUUUUAUGGGGGAGGAUACUGAAUCCCAGAACGGGAGCAUGGCCUGUCCAAAGUCUUAAAGGAAGUCACAGGACUGGAU
rnacentral:lncRNA from 1 species